UACGUAGGGGGCAAGCGUUGUCCGGAAUCAUUGGGCGUAAAGAGCGUGUAGGCGGCCCGGUAAGUCCGCUGUGAAAGUCCAGGGCUCAACCCUGGAAUGCCGGUGGAAACUGUCGGGCUAGAGUCCGGAAGAGGCGAGUGGAAUUCCUGGUGUAGCGGUGAAAUGCGCAGAUAUCAGGAGGAACACCGAUGGCGAAGGCAGGUCUCUGGGCCACUACUGACGCUGAGAAGCGAAAGCAUGGGGAGCGAACAGG
rnacentral:rRNA from 1 species